AUGAAGGGGCGGUUGGGAGCUCUGAGAGGUUCUACAGCUGCUUGUGCAGAUAGUCCUACUACACCCAAGAAUCCCAUUGUGGAAUUGAUAGACAGCGAUGAUGAUGUGUUUGACAAGAUUGCUGGCGUUGGAAGAGUCACGAGGAGCGCUGCUGCCAAAGGUUUAUCUCCCCAUGCUGGAAUAAUGGCUCGUAGAGCUGGUGGUGCUAGGAAAGAUCCCGCUUUGGAUUCUGGCAAUGUUGUAAGCAUGAAGCGUGCGCCCAGAGCUCCUAUAAAGUUUUUCUCCCCUGUGCAGCAGCUUCACCCUUAUAAAUUCCCUCACCUGGACAAGGCUCGUAGGUUGUAUAAUCUGUUGCUUAGUGAUGAAUGGCGUGAGAAGUAUGCCGAGUGA
rnacentral:rRNA from 1 species